CAAAAAGUGAUGACUCAAAUGAAAAAAAAAAACACUGAAGACAUCUCACAUUAUAGAACGGUUUAAGUAAAUUGUAAUUUGUUAAUUUUUUUCCCUCUCUCUCCUCUAUAUUCCCCCAUAUGUUCUGUAUUGGAUUAUAUUUCUGCAAAAAAAAUAAUAAUUAUGGAAGUAAUUGUCCAACAGACCAUGGUGUACUAAGAGACUGUCAUGCUGCUCCACGUCGACAGAUGGCAGUGCUGGUAUUCGUGCUUAAAGCACAAAGAGCGAGAGAACUAUUGAAAGGGUCUCUCAGCGGUACAAGAAUCAAGGGUGUUUGUAUGUGGGUUGGUAGGUUAAUCAGGAGAUUGUAGAUCGAGUGUCAAUGGUCCAUUUGAGAUAUAGGUGACGGUAAUGCACUUAUAAGUCUGCGAUCCGCCGUAAAGCAACAAGAACAACUAUUGAAAGCUCCUCGAUUAAAUGCUUGCGUUUUGAUAGAAGUGAGCACAUUAAAAUAUACUUACUGACUAAAACAACAUUAUAGGCUUGCUGUAGUGAAUGGGGGUUUAAGUGUGGCGGCUCGGAUUUGGUAGGAAACCGCGCGUUUACGUCACGUCCGGCAACACAAAGUCUGGCGCGGAUGGUUGUGUUGUUUGGAGAUCAGCGGUUUUUGAAACCGUCAGCUAGUCAUCACGGAUUAUGGAUCGCUCUAAACUGAAACCUUCGCCUCGGACCGCACAGAACCUGCUAGCGAAGCGGGAAAGCAAUAGAGUUCACGGCAAAACUAGAAUCAAUAUCGGCAGAGCGUUCGAGCGGUGGCGACAGCUCCGAGAUCUCGCGGGAUUUAACAGUGACCCGGAGCUGGCUUCUUUCUUGCUGGACAGGGUGUGUGGUGAACAUCUUUCACAAGACCAUUCCAGUGAAUCUCCGAGAAAGAGAGGAAGACGGCAGAAAUCAACAUCUGCACUGAAGUCUGAGGUAUGUCACCGGGUCAAUUCGGGUAAAUUGGGGCACUUUGCUAUUGAGAUGACUGGGGAAAAAGUCUAAAGUAUCCUUACUUAUUGCCAUAAAAUAAAUUCUAUAUAUAAUCUCUAUCUCUUAUAUGCAUUUGGUUUACACUGCAUCUGAUACAACGAUCUCGAACAUGAAUUGUCAUAGCAGACUCAGAGCGAUUCACCUCAGCCUAGUCCAGAUCUUCAGUCCACAAACGUUGAGGUCCUUGGGAUCUGCUACGACGUCCCUCCCCUAUGGUUAUAUCAGCCGGUAAGUGCUCACAUAUGCUAGUUUUGCGACCAUUGGCUUGCAAUGCAGCACUUAAUU
rnacentral:lncRNA from 1 species